UGCCAAGUUGCAAAGGGCGCAUGGUGAAUGCCUUGGUACCGGAAGGCGAUGAAGGACGUGCUAAGCUGCGAAAAGCCUCGGGGAGCGGCAAAGACGCUCUGAUCCGGGGAUGUCCUAAUGGGGAAACCCGGCCCUGGUAAUGCGGGGUCACUGGAGUCUGAAUAAAAUAGGGCUUCAGGGCGAUACCCGGGGAACUGAAACAUCUCAGUACCCGGAGGAAAAGAAAGCGACAGCGAUUCCCUAAGUAGUGGCGAGCGAACGGGGAACAGCCUAAACUCUGCUGCUUGCAGCGGAGGGUUGCGGGACCGCGAUACGGAAGUUCGGAGGGAUAGUUGAAGCAGAUGGAAAGCUGCUCCACAGAAGGUGAAAGGCCUGUAAACGAAAUCCUGACGAUGCCCAGCGGUAUCCCAAGUAGGACGGGACACGUGAAACCCCGUCUGAAUCUAGGGGGCCCACCUCCUAAGGCUAAAUACUAACCGGUAACCGAUAGUGAACCAGUACCGUGAGGGAAAGGUGAAAAGAACCCCUGCUAGGGGAGUGAAAUAGAACCUGAAACCAUGUGCUUACAAACUGUGGUAGUCCUGCUGUAAAGCGGGAUGGCCGCAUGCCUUUUGCAUAAUGAGUCCGCGAGUUGCCGUAGGUGGCGAGGUUAAGUCAUUACGUGACGGAGCCGAAGCGAAAGCGAGUGUGAACAGCGCGUCACAGUCGUCUGCGGCAGACCCGAAUCCGGGUGAGCUACCCAUGGCCAGGCUGAAGCCCCGGUAACACGGGGUGGAGGGCCGCACCAGUGCAUGAUGAAAAAUGCUUGGAUGAGCUGUGGGUCGGAGUGAAAGGCUUAUCAAACCCGGUGAUAGCUGGUUCUCCUCGAAAUACCUUGAGGGAUAGCCUCGGCGAAUGCUCGCAACGGAGGUAGAGCACUGAUUGGACUAGGGUCCUUACCCGGAUACCGACGCCUGUCAAACUCCGAAUGCCGUUGCAGUCACGCCGGGAGUCAGACAGUGGGGGAUAAGCUUCAUUGUCGAAAGGGAAACAGCCCAGACCGCCGGCUAAGGCCCCUAAAGAUGGUUAAGUGCUAAAGGAUGUGAGAUUGCGAAGACAGCUAGGAUGUUGGCUUAGAGGCAGCCAUCAUUUAAACAGUGCGUAAUAGCUGACUAGUCGAGUGAUCUUGCGCCUAAAAUGAUCGGGACUCAAACCAUCUGCCGAAGCCGCGGACUUUCCGUUCUGCGGGAAGUGGUAGAGGAGCGUUGUAUGGGCAUAGAAGCGCAAGGGCAACCGAGCGUGGAGCGCAUACAAGUGAUUAUGCGGACAUGAGUAACGAAAAGACAGGUGAGAAUCCUGUCCGCCGAAAUUCCAAGGUUUCCUGGGGAAGGUUCGUCCGCCCAGGGUUAGUCGGCCCCUAAGCCCAGGCCGAAAGGCGUAGGCGAUGGGAAACAGGUUAAAUAUUCCUGUACCGCCAGUACGGCAUUUGAGCGAUGGAGGGACGCAGAAAGCUGGACCGGCCACCGAUCGGAAAUGGUGGUCCAAGCCCGUAGGGGGCUCUGACAGGUAAAUCCGUCGGAGCAACUCCGAGAGGCGACGGGACGGUUCACCCACGGGUGAAACGGAUCGGUUGAUGCUAUACUGCCAAGAAAAGCUUCUAGCGAGUCGUGCCGGCGACCGUACCGCAAACCGACACAGGUAGGAAGGAAGAGUAUUCCAAGGCGCGCGAGAGAAACCACGUUAAGGAAUUCGGCAAAUUAGCCCCGUAUCUUCGGAAGAAGGGGUCCUUGCACGGGUGAAGGACUUGCUCCGUAAGCCCGAGUGAGGCGCAGUGAAAGGGUCCGGGCGACUGUUUACCAAAAACACAGCACUCUGCUAACUCGCAAGAGGAUGUAUAGAGUGUGACACGUGACCAAUGCCAAAAGGUUAAGGAGAGAGGUUAUUCCGCUUCGGCGGGAGAAGCUUCGACCUGAAGCCCUGGUGAAUGUCGGCCGUAACUAUAACGGUCCUAAGGUAGCGAAAUUCCUUGUCGGGUAAGUUCCGACCCGCACGAAUCGUGUAACGAUCCGGACACUGUCUCAACGUGGAUCUCGGUGAAAUUGAAAUUCCGGUGAAAAUGCCGGAUACCCGCGGUAGGACGGAAAGACCCCGUGAACCUUUACUGUAAUCUGUCAUUGGAUUCUGAUACAUCAUGUGUAGGAUAGCCGGGAGGCUUCGAAGCUUCGUCGUCAGGCGAGGUGGAGCCGCUGGUGAAAUACCGGUCUUGAUGUAUUGGGCUUCUAACUCCGACCCGUGAAUCCGGGCGGGGGACAGUGUCAGAGGGUCAGUUUGACUGGGGCGGUUUCCUCCCAAAACGUAACGGAGGAGCGCGAUGGUACCCUCAGCACGGUCAGCAAUCGUGCGCAGAGCGUAUAGGUAGAAGGGUGCUUGACUGCGAGACUCACAGGUCGAGCAGGUGCGAAAGCAGGCCUAAGUGAUCCGGCGGUAGCUAGUGGUAGCGCCGUCGCUCAUCGGACAAAAGGUACUCCGGGGAUAACAGGCUGAUCGCCGCCAAGAGUCCACAUCGACGCGGCGGUUUGGCACCUCGAUGUCGGCUCAUCGCAUCCUGGGGCUGGAGAAGGUCCCAAGGGUUGGGCUGUUCGCCCAUUAAAGCGGUACGCGAGCUGGGUUCAGAACGUCGUGAGACAGUUUGGUCCUUAUCCACCGUGGGCGCAGGAAAUUUGAGGAGAGCAUUCCCUAGUACGAGAGGACCGGGAAUGACGCACCUCUGGUGUGCCAGUUGUCCCGCCAGGGGCACUGCUGGGUAGCUAUGUGCGGAAAGGAUAAGCGCUGAAGGCAUCUAAGCGCCAAGCCUUCUCCAAGAUAAGAUUUCCCUCCCCGCUUCGGCGGGACUGAAGGCACGUUCAAGACCAGGACGUUGAUAGGCUGGAGGUGGAAGUCCGGUAACGGAUGAAGCUGACCAGUACUAAUUAGCCGUGUGACUUGGCAUU
rfam:Kiritimatiella glycovorans strain L21-Fru-AB chromosome, complete genome.